CCCCUCUCAGGAUGGCACCUGGAGAGUUUCCAGUCCUCUACCAGUUUCGGCCACGGGAGGGAGAGUCAAGCAGAGGCCUGUCCAUUCCGUUCCCAGCUUGGCCAGUGGCUAGCGAGAGGCAGGCAAUCUGCUACAAGU
rnacentral:snoRNA from 1 species